GCCCCGGCUAACUACGUGCCAGCAGCCGCGGUAAUACGUAGGGGGCGAGCGUUGUCCGGAAUUAUUGGGCGUAAAGGGUACGUAGGCGGCUUUUUAAGUUUGACGUGAAAGCCCGGGGCUUAACUCCGGCAAGCGUUGAAAACUGGAGGGCUUGAGUGAUGGAAGGGACAGUGGAAUUCCUGGUGGAGCGGUGGAAUGCGCAGAUAUCAGGAGGAACACCAGUGGCGAAGGCGGUUCUCUGGACCUUUCCUGACGCUGAGGAGCGAAAGCGUGGGGAGCAAACAGGCUUAGAUACCCUGGUAGUCCACGCUGUAAACGAUGAGUGCAAGGUGUUGGGGGUCAAACCUCGGUGCCGCCGUUAACACAGUAAGCACUCCGCCUGGGGAGUACGUACGCA
rnacentral:rRNA from 1 species